ACAUUGGUGAUUCGGUGGUAGAAUUCUUGCCUUCAAUGCAGGAGACCCAGGUUCAACUCCCAGCCCAUGAG
rnacentral:tRNA from 1 species